rnacentral:lncRNA from 1 species
GUCAAAUUCAAUAUCAGUAAAAAAACAGAGAGCUAUAUUAAACCUAUCUGUAUUAAGCCUAGCCUAGAAUUAUAACUACUAAAGAGACCUAAAGUAGGCAACUCUGGAUAGCAGGCUGUAGAAACUGCACACUGCUGUCUUGAAUUUAUAUGCUGCAGCAGUCUUGACGCAGAAGGUGGUCCAAGUACGACUCCUGCAGAUUUACUGGAUGUCACCCAUAUCUGCACUGUUUUCUCCCAGCUGAGUUUGACCUAGGACACUUACUGCUUUCAAUCUUCAUGUCAGAGAAGACGAAUGUAAACUAAAUAUAUAUAUUAAGAAAGAGAUGUAGUACAAUACAAGUAAAAAAAAGAAUCAGGAAAAGAACAUUAUCAUUUCUCUCAUCUUUUGCUAAGAGACAAGAGAAAUGAGAGGCAGAUGUGCUUCUACCUGAGCAGGGGAAUGAGGCUGGUAAAGCCUGCUAUUGGGAGAGAAAAUUAACUCUGUGGAGAACAGACCGAACCAGAUACACACAGAAACAUGUGCAGACUCUCUCCUUCCCUUUCUCCUUCCCCCACGUCCCCCACCUGACUACAUAUCACUGUGGCUUCCCUCCAGCUGCAGCAGAAGGGAGCGGGAACAAGGGACUCCUCAACCUGUCUGCACCUCCUGAAUCGCCUGAAGAGAGAAAACUGACUGGAGGGAGGAAGAUGUGAACGCUCGUGGCAAUGACACCUUUGGAGUUGAGCCCACUUACCCUGGAAUUCCUCAGUACUCCAACAAAGCCCAGUCUGUAGUUUUACCUAAUUAUUAAUACACUUUAUAAGGAAGCUGGGUUCUGAGUCUGUACUGUCCCACACAACUAAGGAGCUUUACUUUAAGGAUAUUUAAAAGAGGGGUGAACACAGGCAGGCAGGUAGCUUAAUCAGGCUGUCCUGGAAAUAUGUAUCUACAUCACUCAGAAGUCCAGUUUUGGGGAUUGAACCAUAAGACUACCUAUCCCUGAAAAGGAGGAAAGCUUAUCUUAGUUCUAAAAGCGCAAUUCUGAGUCACUGAAGCACCUCAGAGAAACCACUGAGAAAGGUAAGGUCCUGAAUCAAGGCAUCUUUCACGGUUGGUGCUGGUGAGGCAGCAGCUCUAGCUCAGAGAAAAGAUGAACGCCUUCUGCCUUCGCACUUGGCCCUGAGAGAUAGUUCCUUGGCUGGGUGGGCUGGAAAAUAGUUAUUGGAGCCACUGCUGGUGGCCUAAUAGUCACCAUCAACAUCUCCAUGUAGGCAGAGUCUUUCCUCAGUCCCACUUUUAUUAAAAGAAAAAAACAACAGCAACAAGCCAGUGUUCUUAGGUGAUUCCUUCUCUCAAGUUUUUU